UUCGGCCCCGCGCUGGUUUCUCCAGUGCCCCCUGCUAGCCGUCGCCGACGCUCUCCUUUUCGAAUAAGUACGCGAUCCUGUCGCCUUCUCCGCGGCGCGGC
rfam:Pseudomonas sp. GM78 PMI35_contig279.279, whole genome shotgun sequence.